rnacentral:rRNA from 1 species
AGAGUUUGAUCAUGGCUCAGAACGAACGUUGGCGGCGUGGAUUAGGCAUGCAAGUCGCGCGAAUGCCCGCAAGGGCGGAAGCGGCGUAAGGGGCAGUAAGGCGUGGGUGACCUACCCCGGGGUCGGGAAUAGCCCGUCGAGAGACGGGGUAAUGUCCGACGAGGUCGAAGGACCAAAGCUCCGGCGCCCCGGGCGGGGCCCACGUGGUAUUAGCUAGUUGGUGGGGUGACGGCCCACCAAGGCGGAGAUGCCUAGCGGGUGUGAGAGCACGACCCGCGCCACUGGCACUGAGACACUGGCCAGACACCUACGGGUGGCUGCAGUCGAGGAUCUUCGGCAAUGGGGGCAACCCUGACCGAGCGACGCCGCGUGGGCGAUGAAGGCCUUCGGGUUGUAAAGCCCUGUCGAGGGGGAGGAAGCGCGAAAGCGGUGACCCAUCCCUGGAGGAAGCUCGGGCUAAGUUCGUGCCAGCCGCCGCGGUAAUAC